UAGUAGUUCAUAUGAGUAUAGUUAGUAUUAGUAGUAGUUCUUAGGAUUGUAGGAUGGUGUAAUUUUUUGAAUAUGAGUCUUAUUUGAAUAUUAGUUAGUAUAUGAGUAAUUUUUUGUGAUUUGUAGGAUGGUGUGGCUUCUGAAUAAUGUUUAUGACGUUGAACACCGGGCCUAUUUCAUGUCGGAGAAGAAGAUGGUAAGUAGAAAAUGAUUAGUAGAUGAGUAAUUUUUUGAAAAUGUAAUAAGCACUUGAUAUCUUCUUCUCCUAUAUGUUUGCAGGAGCUUACGCCCUUCAAGAUCCGGUCUCAUGGGGCAUCCUCUGUAA
rnacentral:lncRNA from 1 species